UCCCAUCUUUCAUCUUUCGCAUUCAUUGCUCUCAAACAAACUCAAAAGUCAAAACACAGUAAUUGUUCUGUUCUCCGGCGAAAGUUCGCCCCCCUCAACCGCGGUUUAUCCUCCUUCCACCCUUAACUUCUAAUUCAAUAUCUUUCUCAUUCACGCAACUCUUCCCCAAAUCUGCCCUCAUUUUUCCUUCAUUCAUCUUCCUCAAAACCGAUCAAUUCCUCCUGAAAUUCGGCGAAUCCACAACUGGAAUCCACCAUCUCUCGCUUGAAAUCUCUCUCCAAUUCUACAGCGGCGAGUCUUCCCCGCUUUCAUCACAUUCGGGCGAACACCACCUCUCGCGAAAUUGCAGUGUCUUCCUCCACCGCCUGAAUCUAGGUUUAUUCCUUUUUUCUUCCUAACACGACCAGAAAUUGGAGCACAGAUUGAUGAUGAGUUCGUUCUCCAAAAUCGAAAAGGUUCAGGAAGUUUAAGAUAAGCUUCAGACGAGCUUCUUACGCAAGAGCAUACUGUUAUGCAAGAUCUUACUCACGCUUUCACUAACGUCUAUAUAUUUUGCCGGUUGACCUCUUUCCAGAAAACAAGUGUUUUGGUUUGAGAGUAAGUAUGACUUUGUUCACUUCUCUACGAGCUUCUUUGUUCAUGUUUUUUUUGCACUUUAGCAAUCUUAAUAGCCUUUUUUAAUGAGGAGAAUCUUUGAAGCCCUCUCCAGGGACAACUUCACCUGAUGGUCUUGACAUUAACCUUGAUAGUUGUCUCACAUUCGGUCAGAUGGUCGGCUUUCAGCCAUGCUCUUCUUAAUUCUAUACUUUUGAUCGGCUCCAGUCCUUGGAUUUUUAGUCUUCUACAUUUUCUUUACUGACAAUGUCUGAUUUUCUCACCGGCACCAAGGAGGAGCACAAGGAAUUCUGGGAUCAGAUCGCUAAUCAGAGUUUUGACUUAAAACUUACUCAUAUUACCAUGGAUUUAUCUUUAAUCCUCAUUUCCAAUCACAUAUAUACAUUUUAAAUAAAUUCUUGAAUGCAGGAUUGAUAAAGAUGCAGAUGGAAAAAAUAUACUGAAGAUGAAGUCGCUACUCAGUGAGGAGAAGAAAGGUCAAGAUUCGGCUCCAAUGUGGUAUAUUACUGCUAAUGAAUGCCACUUCUUAUGUUUCAGGGGAAUUCUUAUCAUCAUACAUGGGUUAAUUGAGCACAGAUUUAUGCACAAGCUUUGCUCAUUGAUAAUUGGAAGUAUUGAAGAAAGAAGGUAGAGAUUUUAUGAAUCAAAGAAGCAGCUUAAUGUCCUUCCAAUCUCGAUUAACUGUUUCUGAAGUUGUAAUUUACAUAUUGCGGGGACGUGGUGUGUUUCAAUUAAUCAAAUAUUGUAUUAGUGAAUGUUUCUUAAUUGUUGAUCAAUACAUUUAUAAA